GAUGAACGCUAGCCACAGGCUUAACACAUGCAAGUCGAGGGGUAACGAGAGGAAAGCUUGCUUUCCUUGUCGACGACCGGCGCACGGGUGAGUAACGCGUAUCCAACCUGCCCCCAACUAGGGAAUAACCUUGCGAAAGUAAGACUAAUACCCUAUAAUUUCCUCAGAUGUCAUCUGACGAGGAAUAAAGAUUUAUCGGUUGUGGAUGGGGAUGCGUCUGAUUAGCUUGUUGGCGGGGUAACGGCCCACCAAGGCAACGAUCAGUAGGGGUUCUGAGAGGAAGGUCCCCCACAUUGGAACUGAGACACUGUCCAAACUCCUACGGGAGGCAGCAGUGAGGAAUAUUGGUCAAUGGGCGGAAGCCUGAACCAGCCAAGUAGCGUGCAGGAUGACGGCCCUAUGGGUUGUAAACUGCUUUUAUACGGGAAUAAAGUUAGCCACGUGUGGUUAUUUGUAGGUACUGUAUGAAUAAGGACCGGCUAAUUCCGUGCCAGCCGCCGCGGUAA
rnacentral:rRNA from 1 species